rnacentral:rRNA from 1 species
CAGUAGCCGCGGUAAUACGUAGGUGGCAAGCGUUGUCCGGAAUUAUUGGGCGUAAAGGGCUCGCAGGCGGUUUCUUAAGUCUGAUGUGAAAGCCCCCGGCUCAACCGGGGAGGGUCAUUGGAAACUGGGAAACUUGAGUGCAGAAGAGGAGAGUGGAAUUCCACGUGUAGCGGUGAAAUGCGUAGAGAUGUGGAGGAACACCAGUGGCGAAGGCGACUCUCUGGUCUGUAACUGACGCUGAGGAGCGAAAGCGUGGGGAGCGAACAGGAUUAGAUACCCGCGUAGUCCCUGUCUCUUAUAC